rnacentral:rRNA from 1 species
GUGAGGAAUAUUGGACAAUGGGCGCAAGCCUGAUCCAGCCAUGCCGCGUGCAGGAAGACGCAUCUAUGGUGUGUAAACUGCUUUUGUACGGGAAGAAACACUCCCUCGUGAGGGAGCUUGACGGUACCGUAAGAAUAAGGAUCGGCUAACUCCGUGCCAGCAGCCGCGGUAAUACGGAGGAUCCAAGCGUUAUCCGGAAUGAUUGGGUUUAAAGGGUCCGUAGGCGGUUUAAUAAGUCAGUGGUGAAAGCCCAUCGCUCAACGAUGGAACGGCCAUUGAUACUGUUAGACUUGAAUUACAAGGAAGUAACUAGAAUAUGUAGUGUAGCGGUGAAAUGCUUAGAUAUUACAUGGAAUACCAAUUGCGAAGGCAGGUUACUACUUGUGGAUUGACGCUGAUGGACGAAAGCGUGGGGAGCGAACAGGAUUAGAUACCCUGGUAGUCC